rnacentral:rRNA from 1 species
AGAGUUUGAUUCAUGGCUCAGAUUGAACGCUGGCGGCAUGCCUAACACAUGCAAGUCGCACGCGAAAGCGGGGCAACCCGCAAGUAGAGUGGCGGACGGGUGAGUAACGCGUAGGAAUCUACCUCGUAGUGGGGGACAACCCGGCGAAAGCCGGGCUAAUACCGCAUACGAUCCACGGAUGAAAGCAGGGGACCGCAAGGCCUUGCGCUAUGAGAUGAGCCUGCGUCGGAUUAGCUAGUUGGUGAGGUAACGGCCCACCAAGGCGACGAUCCGUAGCUGGUUUGAGAGAACGACCAGCCACACCGGAACUGAGACACGGUCCGGACUCCUACGGGAGGCAGCAGUGGGGAAUAUUGGACAAUGGGGGCAACCCUGAUCCAGCAAUGCCGCGUGUGUGAAGAAGGCCUUCGGGUUGUAAAGCACUUUCGGUGGGGACAAACAAGGCGGAGCUAACAUCUCCGUCCCUGAUGGUACCCAAAGAAGAAGCACCGGCUAACUCUGUGCCAGCAGCCGCGGUAAUACAGAGGGUGCAAGCGUUAAUCGGAAUUACUGGGCGUAAAGCGUGCGUAGGUGGUUUGUUAAGUCAGGUGUGAAAUCCCGGGGCUCAACCUCGAAAUUGCGCUUGAUACUGGCAGACUCGAGUGUGGUAGAGGAUAGUGGAAUUCCCGGUGUAGCGGUGAAAUGCGUAGAUAUCGGGAGGAACAUCAGUGGCGAAGGCGGCUAUCUGGACCAACACUGACACUGAGGUACGAAAGCGUGGGUAGCAAACAGGAUUAGAUACCCUGGUAGUCCACGCCCUAAACGAU